UGGGGAAUAUUGGACAAUGGGGGCAACCCUGAUCCAGCAAUGCCGCGUGUGUGAAGAAGGUCUUCGGAUUGUAAAGCACUUUCGACGGGGACGAUGAUGACGGUACCCGUAGAAGAAGCCCCGGCUAACUUCGUGCCAGCAGCCGCGGUAAUACGAAGGGGGCCUAGCGUUGCUCGGAAUGACUGGGCGUAAAGGGCGUGUAGGCGGUUUACACAGUCAGAUGUGAAAUCCCCGGGCUUAACCUGGGAGCUGCAUUUGAUACGUGUAGACUAGAGUGUGAGAGAGGGUUUGUGGAAUUCCCCAGUGUAGAGGUGAAA
rnacentral:rRNA from 1 species